rnacentral:rRNA from 1 species
GUGGGGAAUAUUGGACAAUGGGGGGAACCCUGAUCCAGCCAUGCCGCGUGUGUGAAGAAGGCCUUUUGGUUGUAAAGCACUUUAAGCGAGGAGGAGGCUACCGAGAUUAAUACUCUUGGAUAGUGGACGUUACUCGCAGAAUAAGCACCGGCUAACUCUGUGCCAGCAGCCGCGGUAAUACAGAGGGUGCAAGCGUUAAUCGGAUUUACUGGGCGUAAAGCGCUCGUAGGUGGCCAAUUAAGUCAAAUGUGAAAUCCCCGAGCUUAACUUGGGAAUUGCAUUCGAUACUGGUUGGCUAGAGUAUGGGAGAGGAUGGUAGAAUUCCAGGUGUAGCGGUGAAAUGCGUAGAGAUCUGGAGGAAUACCGAUGGCGAAGGCAGCCAUCUGGCCUAAUACUGACACUGAGGUGCGAAAGCAUGGGGAGCAAACAGGAUUAGAUACCCUAGUAGUCC